UGGUCGAUUGUUUCAUGUGUAUCAGCCAAACCAGAAACUAGAUUUAGAAACAUAAACUGUGGCUAAUCUGGAAAACACUCCAUGUGUUUCCCCCAGAAAAAACAAUUUACUGCCCCAAAUUUGCAACUAAUGACACCAGUGGCUGUGGGAGGGGCUAUUCCUAGAAAUUUCCUAAUGCCUUACAGACGCAGACCUGAGAUCCAGUCUGACACAAUUUUCUUUUCACAGAAUUAAAAAAAAAAUCAUUUGAUUCUCCAGUCUGUAGAAAUGUGGCAUGGUUGGAUAAAAGGCACUGAAAGCUGUUUGACGGCACUGACUACAGCAGAGGUUUUUAAAGCUUUGGCUCAGUGCAGAUAAAAUUCACCAGAAUACCAGUGAAAGCACAUAUGGUGGACAAUACAAGAGGACAAACAGACCGUCGGUGUGCGUGAUCGAAGAGAGGACCAAGUGCUGAUGGAUGAAUGACUGAGGUUUGGGUUUUGGUGGUGGGAGGUCCGUGCACACAGGGCACUGUGUUAAAUAAAUAACCUCACAGAUCUUUAAACUGACUCUUCUAGACUUUACUGAGGACUUUACUGUGAAUAACCGCUCGCACAGUGACUGUAUUUAUGCAGGAUGGCUGCAGGGCGAGAAGACACGUCUGCUGACUGGAGGAUACAAGUUUGACACCAUCACAGACAAAUCAGAGCCUGUUUUCAUAGAUGAACCUCAGCAGAGUGAGGAUGCUGGAUGAAUAAAGCAUCCAAAAGACACCAUGAGGACCAUGGGGGUAGGUUCUGUUUGGGGACCCAGAAACCAGCCGAAACACUUCCUGCCUAUUUAAUUUGUAUACAACAACUUCUACCUUACCUGCAUCGAUUUAUGGAGGAGAAAUUGGUAAAAUAACACAGUAAGAGCUCUUAAGUAUUCAGUGUUGCUUAACCAUAAUUGUUCAUUCAAUGCAAUAAUUUUACUGAGUGUGACUAAGAACAAGAAGCUCAGGCAGUGUAACUGUGCUAACAUCCUUUAUAUUACAUUUACAGUUUGAGGGUAAAUGGCAGUUUUAUGGGAUGUCUGUGUUCUACAUUCUUGACUCUGUUUUUCAGUUAA